rnacentral:rRNA from 1 species
AGAGUUUGAUCCUGGCUCAGAUUGAACGCUGGCGGCAGGCCUAACACAUGCAAGUCGAGCGCGAAAGCCUUUCGGGGUGAGUAGAGCGGCGGACGGGUGAGUAACGCGCAGGAAUCUACCUGGUAGUGGGGGACAACUUGGGGAAACCCAAGCUAAUACCGCAUACGCCCUAAGGGGGAAAGCGGGGGAUCUUCGGACCUCGCGCUAUUGGAUGAGCCUGCGUAGGAUUAGCUUGUUGGUGAGGUAAAGGCUCACCAAGGCGACGAUCCUUAGCUGGUCUGAGAGGAUGAUCAGCCACACUGGAACUGAGACACGGUCCAGACUCCUACGGGAGGCAGCAGUGGGGAAUAUUGCGCAAUGGGGGCAACCCUGACGCAGCCAUGCCGCGUGUGUGAAGAAGGCCUUAGGGUUGUAAAGCACUUUCAAUUGGGAAGAAAAGCUUAACGUUAAUAGCGUUGAGCCCUGACAUUACCUUUAGAAGAAGCACCGGCUAACUCCGUGCCAGCAGCCGCGGUAAUACGGAGGGUGCGAGCGUUAAUCGGAAUUACUGGGCGUAAAGCGCGCGUAGGCGGUUUGUUAAGUCAGCUGUGAAAGCCCUGGGCUCAACCUGGGAACUGCAGUUGAUACUGGCCGACUAGAGUACGAGAGAGGGAGGUAGAAUUCCAUGUGUAGCGGUGAAAUGCGUAGAUAUAUGGAGGA